rnacentral:rRNA from 1 species
UACGUAGGUGACAAGCGUUGUCCGGAAUUACUGGGCGUAAAGCGUGCGCAGGCGGUUCGCCAAGUCAGGUGUGAAAUCCCCGGGCUUAACCUGGGAAUUGCGCUUGAAACUAGCGGGCUUGAGUGCGGCAGAGGGGGGUGGAAUUCCACGUGUAGCAGUGAAAUGCGUAGAGAUGUGGAGGAACACCGAUGGCGAAGGCAGCCCCCUGGGUCGACACUGACGCUCAUGCACGAAAGCGUGGGGAGCAAACAGG